rnacentral:lncRNA from 1 species
AAUGCAUCGAGUACUUGGCUGUGGAAGGUAAAAGAAAUUGCAAAAAAAGGUCCUAACAAUCCAAUAGGAUUAUAGAGAAUUUAUAAUUAAACGUUAACAAUUAUAAUCAAACAUUAAGCAAGCUCAAUUAAAUUUUAUUGAAGUUAUAAAAGAAACACAAGGAAAUCCUAAAGAAAUAUAAAAGAAUAUUAAAGAAAACUUAGUCAAACCCUAAAAAAAAUCUAAUAUAACCUUAAAUUCUAACCAAAUCUUAAUCCUAAUCCAACCUUAAUAAAAUCCUAGACAAAUCCUAAAUCCUAAAUCAAAUCCUAAUCAAACCUUAAAUCUUAACUAAAUCCUAAUCCAAACCCUAAAUCCUAAACCAAAUCCUAACCAAAUCCUAAACCCUAAAUCAAAUCCUAUCCAAAUCCUAAAUCCUAAAUCAAACUCU